UGUCCAAGGAAGUUCUGCCGACUGGAACUGAACCAUAGCAAAUGCAUCUCCACUUUCCAUGAUUCAGUAGCUUUGAGUGACAAAGUAACUAAUCUCCAGCCCUGGUUAUUGAGAAACUCCUGAAUUGUUUGCACUGAGCUGCCGGUUUCAUCCAGAAUUCCUGGCAAAGGUGUUAGAACGGCUCCAUGAUUGAAUCACCAGUGAUUUUUAGUAUAAAUAUGGCAGAGUUGGAAACCUGGAAAAUAGAACAAAAUGAAUGGAUUGGUUAUCCUACCGCUGAAGCAAUCAAAACAGCACAACUUGGGAAGAGAAAAUUUAGGGUUCACAAUUGUUUUUAGUUCUGUAAUGAAGCCAAUCAUUCUAACACAAAUAUGUUAUUUAAAAAUAAAAACCGUUUCCCUAGCUUUUAUCA
rnacentral:lncRNA from 1 species